AUACGGAGGACGCGAGCGUUAUCCGGAUUCAUUGGGUUUAAAGGGUGCGCAGGCGGCCGUGCAAGUCAGCGGUGAAAGCCCGGGGCUCAACCCCGGAAGUGCCGUUGAUACUGCAUGGCUGGAAUGCGGUCGAGGCGGGCGGGACGUGGGGGGUAGCGGGGAAAUGCGUAGAUAUGCACAGAACGCCGAUAGGGGAGGCAGCUGGCCAGGCAUGAAUUGACGCUCGGGCACGAAAGCGUGGGGAUCGAACAGGAUUAGAUACCCUGGUAGUCCACGCCGUAAACGAUGGGCGCUCGUCGUCGGCGGCAGACAGUCGGCGGCCAAGCGAAAGCGAUAAGCGCCCCACCUGGGGAGUACGGUCGCAAGGCUGAAACUCAAAUGAAUUGACGGGG
rnacentral:rRNA from 1 species